GGGGUUGUGGUUCUGUGGGAGAGCGAUUGCCUAGCAUGUAUGAGGCACUGGGUUCAAUUCUCAGGACCCCA
rnacentral:tRNA from 1 species